AGAAAAACACUGUGUCGAGAAAAAAAAGAAAGAAAAACAGACAAACAAAUGAAAGACUGCAGGGCAGGUGGAGGUCUGCAUGCAAGACUAAAAAGGCCCAACUUUCCAGAUCAGAACAACAAACGGAGGCUGGGGAGUCUUGGCAAGAGGAUGGCCACACAGAAGCUUCAGGAAGCAAGGUGAAAAGCCACUCUCAUAUGGGGCAUCUCUAUGGAGAGGUUGAAUCUAUCAGAACCAUCUUUGCUUCCUGCUUCCUUUUUUUCCCAAUCCUGUCUGUUUACCUUCAGACCUCGCUGUCAUACUCUCAGCUGAACUUUAGAAUGUUUCUGGUUCUUUCCAGUCAUUUUCAGCCAGAUGUACCCAGGGAGUAGCUAAGGAAACAAGCCCAUGAGAGAUUUACAUGCCAGGAGUGGUGAACGUGGGUUGGCCCUGCCCAUUUCUCAACACGUAACAAGACAUAGGCCCUGGCAAACUCAGAGAAGAAAGAGGAAAUAUCCCAACGUGUGUGAGAGGGAGUCUCUUUUUUUUUUUUUUUUUUGAAGAUUUGUUUUGAUGUGUUUGUUUUGUCUGCUUGUAUGUCUGCACCACAUCCAUGCAAUGCCUAAGAAAGCUGGAAGAGGGCAUUGGAUCACCUGGACCUCUCGUUACAGGUGCUUAUGAACUGCCGUGCGGGUGCUAAGAAUCAAACACUGGUCCUCUACAUGAGCAACAAGCGUUCUUAAGCUCUGAGCUACCUCUUCAGACCUCUACCAGCUACAUGCAGGCGUUGUUCUUGUUGUUUUCCCUUAUGAAGCACGUGUUCAUUGGCCUAGCCCAGUCUUACUUCCCAUAAAUCCCCUGCAUCUCCCAUCUUGUAAAGAAGUUAAAGUUGCCCUCCUGGAAGAUAAACAGCACAUACUCCAUUAUGACUGUUUCUGUCCCUCCUCCAAAUUCAUAUGCUGAGAUCCUGGUCCUUUGUGAUGCAUUAAGAAGGAAAACUGAGUGUUCAAGGAUCUAGCACUGAGGUGUGUCCUCCUCUGUGCUGGUUGAAUUCUCACCUGAGAUCACAGCAGAGCCCUGCCUGGGCACUUGCUAAGAAGACAGGGCUUGUGGAUUUACCCAAAGACGAGCAACUGUCAAUGAGAUGGGCACUGUCACAAUUAUUUUACAGACACUGAUCUUGGCAGUUACACUUGUCAUAUUGAAGAGAAAAGCAAUCCACUUCCGGGGCCAGAAAGACGGCUCAGUGGGUAAAGGCACUUGCCACCAAGCCUGACAGUAUCUGGAUCCCACGUGGUGGAAUAGAGAACCAACUCCUAAAAAUUUGACCUUCACAGGCACUCUGUGGCAUACACACGUGCACGCUUGCACACACAUACAUGCAUAAAUUAGUUUGGUUUUUUUUUUUAAUCCACAUCUAGUGUUGACAGCAGGAGUAGAAGUGUGUAGUCAAGUCACCUUGAGAGCCAUGUAUGUAUGUGAGUAGGGGGUGUAUGCUCAUAAGCAAAGGUGCUUAUGGAGGCCAGAGGCAUGGGGUAUCCCUAGAGAUGGAGUUAUAACUGGGGUCUAGUCGCCCAAUGUGGAUGCCAGGAAACAAACUGGGGUCUUCUACAAGAGCAACUGUUGAGCCAUGUCUCCCAGUGUUACUUUGUGUUGUUUUGUUUUGUUUUUGUUUUUCAAGACAGGGUUUCUCUGUGUAGCCUGGCUGUCCUGGAACUCAUUUUGUAGACCAGGCUGGCCUCGAACUCAGAAAUCCACCUGCCUCUGCCUCCCGAGUGCUGGGAUUAAAGGCGUGCGCCACCACGCCUGGCUCCAGUGUUACCUUUUGAAUAUUUUAUUCUUAGGAAACAAUGAAGCAUAUUCAGGCAUUACCAUAAAAACUCAAGUGCCACAUUGUUUAUGAAUUCCAAAACUAUGUAAUAUGUUUAUCACAAAAUAAAACAUGAUAUGUAAAAUCAACAUGAUA